CAUGGGCAACAAAUCAAAGAAUUUUGAGCCAAAAGCGAUGCAUGCAAGUGUUUUUAGCUCCAGUAGAAGAACCAAUCUCCGUUUAAACUAACACAUCCAAACCGCAAAUCUCAUCAACAUUGUGGUGUACAGGGCAUGCGCGUGUCGAGGUAAACAGGAGGCAGCAUGUACACUCUGCCCGUUGCUGGU